ACAUCCUAAGUUUUCUUUUUAUUCCCUUAUCCUUUUUAUUUUUCCUCCCCGAUCCCCAAAAUCUCGCCGACCUUCUCUUCGUCUCCCCUAACCUAAUCGUCUUCCUCAACCCGAAGAUGCAUCGCCUCGUGAUGCCUCUUCUUCCUCGCGAAUAAAACCAAUCGGCCAAGGAAGGAAUGGGCACCUCUUGUCCCUAUUUUUCCUCUCCCUCACGUCGAUUUCUCUCCAUGUCAUCCCAAUCUCCUCUUGCCAGAAGCCGAGCACCCAAGUCCUUCAUUCUUCUGUGCCCUAGCUCCCGAUCAACCGUCGUCCGAGUUCUCGUCUUCCUGAUCCGAGGUGCCACCUCUACACGGGUUGGUUUUCAGCCAGGAGCAAGGAUCCAAACUCUAGUUUUCUCCCUGUGCUGAUGUUGCCUCCUUGUCGAAGGCCAGAUCGGAGACAUCGCCGGUCGAGGUAGUGCUGUCGAUCUUCUCCUGUGGCUUAGAUUCCACCAUUGGGUCCUUCUUCGCCCACCUCUUCAGUCACUUUCUGUGAAGUCCCCGACAGAGAGGAAGCGAUUGGCACUGAUUUAGAUACAAUCACUGUUUUCUGGCAGCGACUUCUCCUAGCUCCAACAACAAUUCCUAGCAGCAUUUUCCGGCCGUGAGUCAACAGUGGUGGCUUGAGUUGAGGUAAGGUGUAGAGAAUUUGAUCUUUUCUGUAGCUUACACUUGGAAUUGAUGCUAGGAAAGAUUAGGUAUGAUUGAUCCAAGUGGUUGUCUUGAUAAUUAGGAUUAAAUGUUGGAUCUAAUCUAAGCUGUGGGUUAGACUCGAUUUAUGUAGUUUACCGGGAUUAAUGAGGGAAUUUGGGGUUUCUUGGUUUAAUAGAAAUUUUGAUUUAGCUACUGAUA